AUGGUGACUGCAUUUAGAGCUGGCAUUGGUGCUUGGCCCAUGGAGAGAAGCCCUAAUGUACACCCAAGGUUCAGGGAGGUGAUCCAGGUUUCCAAGAAGGUUAGAAGUGAUGUCAUUGGUGACUCAUGUGAAGUUGCUUUGUUUGAUUCAAGUGCAAUUAGACCGUGGCAGCCAUGCGGAAUAUAUGCAUGA
rnacentral:rRNA from 1 species